GACGAACGCUGGCGGCGUGCUUAACACAUGCAAGUCGAACGGAAAGGCCCUGCUUUUGUGGGGUGCUCGAGUGGCGAACGGGUGAGUAACACGUGAGUAACCUGCCCUUGACUUUGGGAUAACUUCAGGAAACUGGGGCUAAUACCGGAUAGGAGCUCCUGCUGCAUGGUGGGGGUUGGAAAGUUUCGGCGGUUGGGGAUGGACUCGCGGCUUAUCAGCUUGUUGGUGGGGUAGUGGCUUACCAAGGCUUUGACGGGUAGCCGGCCUGAGAGGGUGACCGGCCACAUUGGGCCUGAGAUACGGACCAGACUCCUACGGGAGGCAGCAGUGGGGAAUAUUGCACAAUGGGCGGAAGCCUGAUGCAGCAACGCCGCGUGCGGGAUGACGGCCUUCGGGUUGUAAAACGCUUUCGCCUGUGACGAAGCGUGAGUGACGGUAAUGGGUAAAGAAGCACCGGCUAACUACGUG
rnacentral:rRNA from 1 species